CAGUCCGUCGGCGGCUCCGGUGCGGGGCGGAUGGUGGGGAGUCCUCCUCCGGUGUCAGGAUAUCUGAUCGUCUGUGGCAGCGGAGCGUUGUUCAGUUUGUCGGGUGAAGCGGGAGUGCCCUCUGUCGGUUUGUGGUUUCAGCAGUGUUGGACAGGCGGUCGUUCAGAGCUGUGGCAUUCCUGCGGGGGUUAAGAAGCCCACUGUGAAGUUUGGAGCUCUUCAGGUAUGUGGGAAGAAACAGAAAGGUUCGUGUCCUUGAGAGGCUCGAGUGCUUGCUUUGAGUUGAAGGUGGUCAUCCUAAGAGGGUCUUGUUCGUUGCUUGUGUGAAGAGGUGAAACAGAUUCCAUUCAGAAGAGCUGUGCAGUCUGUGUGGAGUGCAAUGAAGUUCUCCGUGGGAGUCGUGUUCUCUGGAAUGGACUAACGUACGUCUUCGAGAUGCUGGUCUUAAGACUCAUACUUCUGACCCAUCACAAGUUUUGUUGCCAUCAUUUGGAGAUGUUCAAGGGCACAUGUCUUUGUUGCAGCAGGGGGCCUGAAAGUGAACAGAGCCGUUCAGGUGCAGUUUCAGCAGUGGUGAGCACAGCAAGGUUUGGAGUGGAGUUCCUUCCUGUGCUGGCUGAGAUCUGUGCUGCUUUUGCUGUGCUUUCCUGGAUUUUUGAUGCGUGUUCAAUAUGAGCAGUAUUGGGCUUGUUGUUUUUUACUUUUAUGGAUUCUUUGUUGUAUAGCAUGUUUCUGUAUGUUUAUGGUGUUUACUGUGGUUGUGAGAUAUUGUCAUUUUGGUGUAUGUACAUAUUAUGUAUUGGAGUGUGUAAAGGAUUUUUUUGAUAUAUGCUGAAUAUUACUGCAUUUUGUUGUAAUGGUGUGUUUGUGUGGUAGUAAAGAAGUGUUGAAUAUGCUUGUAUGUGUCAUUUUGGAGUUGCAUUUUGAGACAGAAACAUGUGUUAGAAAGGUAUUUGUUGAACUGCAUUUAAUGUGUUUUCUACCCGUGUGAGAUGUUAUUCGAAUUGUAUUUUGGAUUUGUGUCCUGCAUCUGUACAUGAUUUGUUGAUGUGUAAUGAAUAAUUGGAUGUUUUGUCUGUAAAUAAAUUUUUGGAGUAUUGUUGCUUUGCGUGUCCUGCAAUUGUGAAGCACGUUUGCAGCUGUGUUGGCUUUUUGUACACUGUGCAUUGUUACAUAAUGUCGGCAUGUAUUUUGAACUUGCAUCUGUUCCGCCUUCUUGAUGUAUUUUGGAGUCAAUAGUUACGAUGUGUACCGUGUGUGUCGUAUUCUUGUUUUUGAGUUUGUACUGAGAUUGUACUUCAUGCGCCAUGUUACUGUAUGUUACGUUGCAGUGAAUAUUUCUGUGGUGUUGGCAUUUGCUGCUCAUCGUUGCAAUUAUGAGCGUGUUGUGUUUUGAAAUGUGUACUUGUUUUGUACUGACUGAGGUAAAGAAACUGAGUGUAUGUGCUGUACUUCGCCUUAUAAUAAAGCAGUAUGUGUGUCACUGUU